AGUCUCACUCUGUUGCCCAGGCUGGAGUGCAGUGGCAUGAUCUCAGCUCAUUGCAACCUCCACCUCCCAGGUUCAAGGGAUUUUCCUGCCUCAGCCUCCGGAGUAGCUGGAAUUAUAGCAAUACAUGUCUACUGAGAAAAAUUAUGAAGAAAAAGAUAAAAGUAGAAAGAUGUGUCAAUGCAAAUAUAACAAAGGAUGCUACAAGGAUGAUUAGGUAUUGUGCAUAUGCCAGGAAAUAUUUUUCAAAUGAGUGAGUCAAUAAAUGAGAGAAUAGGU